rnacentral:tRNA from 1 species
UAGAAGGUGCCUGACGAAAAGGGUUAUUUUGAUAGAAUAUUUUAUGUAAAUAAAAUUUACUCUUCUAA